CUGACCCCAAGGGCUGGCCCUGUGAAUUGCUCCCCUGGGGGUAACAGGCUCCGUUUGCUCACCGCGGAACAAUUCGAGGCAAAAUGUUGCUUUGUUCUUCACCGCUCACAGUUCAGUUUGCAAGAGGUGCCACCGCUUGGGAUGGAGGAGGAGGUUACCAACACUAACUACUCAUUCCCGCACCAGUUUCCUGGAUGGCUGAGCCACUUUAUUGACCAUUUUGUACAGGAAGAAAUACGUGGAAAUAAUUUACUUGAAGAAAUGGCAAUUUGUGCUGUGCAUUCCACUACAUCUGCUAUGAAGCAGUACGAUAAGAAAUACACUUUAGUCUAACAGUUCUAAUGGUUCGGAGUGCUAGACCAUGAAUCCCUUCUGCACCUAGAGAGGCAUUUGUCUUUACAAAAAGCUCUAUCUGAACAAUUCAUGACAGUUAAUAAAGAAAGCACUUCGAGUCCUGACA
rnacentral:lncRNA from 1 species